CCCCAGCCCAGGAUGCGCUGUGCGAUGGA
rnacentral:sRNA from 1 species